UUCACCACGCUCGGUCUCCACCUGCCCCAAUCUCCACUUCUCCAGGCCGUCAUCCCCAACCGACCAGAUGAUCGGGCCCGACGGGGUCGACUUCGUCGCCGGCGACGGCGCCCUGGCGUUCGGCUCCGGCGUCAAGGACCUUAACAUGGUAGGGUCGUUCGAGCUGGUCCUCCUCCCGCUCCUCACGCUGCUCUUCCCCUUCCCCGCCCCCGCAAGUGCUGCCUCGCUGUCCCCGUUCGCGGCCACCUCCAACGCCUCCUCCCACGCCUACGCCCGCCCCGUAUCCCACCUUCUUCGACGAUGUCGUCGGCGCCGUCGCCGACAAGUACGGCUGGGACCCCGACGCCGAGGUCCAAGUCUGGCCACUCGACGCCGAGGGUGCGCUCGUUGGCGCCGUGCAGUGCUACGUGUUCCGCGCCCACGCGAGGGGCGUCGCGGUCGCACUGGCGCGGGCCUCUGAUGGGGCCGUCGAUUGGAGCCGCUCUGACGCCCCCACGGUGGAGGAGGUGGUCGGGCCCGACGGGGUCCACUUCGUCGCCGGCGAUGACGCCCUGGCGUUCGGCUCCGGCGUCACGGACCUGAACAUGGCAGGGCCGUUCGAGCUGGUGGUCUCCGAUGGCGCUGGCGAGGGCCUCGCAGAGCUCCAGUUGCUGUCGACAUGCGAUGGAUUUGGGCGGGGCAGUGGGUUUGCUCGCGAGGAGGUGGGAAGGACGAAGAUAGUGGAAGAACCUUGAGAUGAUGAUGUUGUCGGUCGGGUGUCCUCUGCUACUGAAGUUUUACCACCAUCUGGUGGUGCUUGAGAGCAGAGACGGCAUACUUUCAUCAGCAGUGGCCAAACCCCCAGCGCCGCUGGUGCUGUACACCCCUGUACCCCUCGACAUCCAGUGCCUCGCGUCUGCCCAACAUGAACAGCUCCUCAAUAUGUACAUCUCUGAAUUUUGUCAUUGCUAGAGAAAGUAGAGCAUUGUUUUACUGUAGCUAUAAUUUGAGUUUAGAAGAUAUACUCCUCUCUUUUUGACGUCAAUUUUUUCAGUUGACUUCUCCGUCCAGUCUCAUGUCUUUCUCUUUAGCAGGGAUCAGUGAGUACUAAACGAGUAAAAAUGUCCUUCUCUUUUUCAUUUUUCUUCCUUUUCCUUACUACUUUUGUGGCUCCAAAUCUCAUGAUUGCUCUAUGUCUGUUCUUUUUGUUGACAUGGAAUUUACCCUGAAAAUUUUCUUCUGAUCUACAAUAUUCUGCCAUCUAAAUUUGUCUGUAUAUUGUGAAUGAGUAGACACUGGUGUAGAAACUCAAUCGGAUGAAAUUACGGACUACAGAGAUGUGUAAUUAUUAAUUAAUUUCUUGCUUUAAAAGAUAUGCAACUAGCAGAGUUUCUUAUUUUUAUCAAUUGGAUUAUGACUGAAGUGAAGAACUUAUGUGGACAGUCUGGCAGAUUUCAGUGGCAAGAUUUUUGUACAAUUACAGUAGCAGAUUUCGGAAAUUUGUAGAGCACAUGAUUUACAAGAACAAGAUAUUCUGUCAAGCCAUGGAUAUCAACAAUCAGUCAAGCAAAGAAAUAUUCAUGGGAGAUAUACAGGAAUCCACAAGAAUGUGCACCGUAUGGUACUACCCUUUUGUCAUCGAGCCACUAUCACAUUUUGGUCAGCAAUCAGUUCAAGCAAUUCCAUUAGUCAGAAGUUGGAAUUUACAUCUAAACAAACAAUACAUCAAGCAACAGAAGAAAAAGUGGUCGUCUCUUUUUCUUGGCACCAAGAUGCCAUACAAGCAUUCACACUUCGGAAUCGCACAAGCAGUUUGUAUAUAAAUGGUGUGCCAUAUCGUUUUAACAUGGACACUUCAAAAGAAUAUAUGCCAAGAGUGGUCGCUGAUCACUAUGAUUAUAGUAGUCCUAAAGAGUUUGCCUCUGCGUUUCUGCUCACAUGUAGUUGAUGUUUUAGCCUUUUAGAAGUAUA